UAGCGGCGGACGGGUGAGUAACACGUGAGUAACCUGCCUUUUACUGGGGAAUAACAUCGAGAAAUCGGUGCUAAUACCGCAUAAUGUCACGAGAUCGCAUGGUAUUGUGACCAAAGGAGUAAUUCGGUAAAAGAUGGACUCGCGUCCGAUUAGGUAGUUGGUGAGGUAACGGCCCACCAAGCCUACGAUCGGUAGCCGAACUGAGAGGUUGAUCGGCCACAUUGGGACUGAGACACGGCCCAGACUCCUACGGGAGGCAGCAGUGGGGAAUAUUGGGCAAUGGGGGAAACCCUGACCCAGCAACGCCGCGUGAAGGAAGAAGGUCUUCGGAUUGUAAACUUCUUUGAUCAGGGACGAAGAAAUGACGGUACCUGAAGAACAAGCCACGGCUAACUACGUGCCAGCAGCCGCGGUAAUACGUAGGUGGCAAGCGUUAUCCGGAUUUACUGGGUGUAAAGGGCGUGUAGGCGGUUCUGCAAGUCAGAUGUGAAAUUCCCGGGCUUAACUCGGGCGCUGCAUCUGAAACUGCAGAACUUGAGUACUGGAGAGGAUAGUGGAAUUCCUAGUGUAGCGGUAAAAUGCGUAGAUAUUAGGAGGAACACCAGUGGCGAAGGCGGCUAUCUGGACAGUAACUGACGCUGAGGCGCGAAAGCGUGGGGAGCAAACAGGAUUAGAU
rnacentral:rRNA from 1 species